GUACCCCGCCGGCCUGCCGACCCGGGUCCGGGGGCCCAGUUGGCGCCCGGACCAGCUCUCCGGUCUGCGUCCUGUAGAUGGGAAAACUGAGGCCUGAGAGGGCGCGAGGGCGGGGACGAGGCCGAGGACUCGGGUUCGAAUCUCGAGGACGCCAGUAGCCCGCUCUGAGGCCGCGUGGGGCUGGUGGAGGAGCCACCGGUCGGGCCCCCAAGACCGGCUGACGUGGGCCUCGCCUCGGGCGACUCCCGCCGGGCUAGUGGCUGGCCGUGUGGUGACCUUGGGCGAGUUACUUCGCACAGCCACCCAGGGGCCUCUUCUCCAACACGAUAGCACUGCACCCGGAGGUUCCCAGAAGAACCACAAAGCAUAAAUUUCCCCAAAAGGGGAAUUUUGUUGAUGGCUUUAGUCUAUUCCCUCCUAAAAGACCAGCUACAACCAAAUGAAGUGAACAUAACCUCAAGGGUGUAUUGUCUUCAUAAUAAAAGAUGAAGCUUAGAACUGGAUCACUUGGCCCUUUCUCUUCUGACAUCCUCCCAGUUGAAAAGGCCUGCAUCUCCUAAUAGCCUGCCAGCAUUCUCUUAGAUCUGCAGUUGGGCUCAAAACACCCAAGCCUCUGCACAAUGUUCUUUGUAAUUUCAGUCUUUUCCCUGAAAAGUUGGCCUAGUAGCCAUACUGCUUCCUGUCAUAAUGCUGCCUUCCCCGGGCAUACAGAAGACCCUUGCCCUUCUUAUAUUGUGUCACUUUGUGGGGUUGGUGCUUGCUACAAUUCUUAUAGAAAGUCUGGUGAGUUUUAGGAACGUUCACCAUGUUUGUGGGAGUGCUAUAACUACCUUUGUUGUGUUUUUCUGUCUUUUUCUUCUUUCUGAUGUGCUGGUUCCUUGCUUUUCCCUUCCUCCCUUGGUUCCUAUCUGAGCUGCUUUUUUUUUUUUUUUUUUGAGACGGAGUCUCGCUCUGUUGCCCAGGCUGGAGUGCAGUGGUGCAAUCUCGGCUCAC
rnacentral:lncRNA from 1 species